CCCGUUCGCCGGGAUUCGGAUUCCGGACCGAACUACCAGUUUUUAGCGACUUGACAACUCGGACGCUGGUGGGCUUAGGUACCUGCUGGGACUCGAAAUAUAGUUCUUCUAGUUGCUACCUGGACUGCUGACUAAAGAGAGCUCGCACGCAGGAAUGCGAUCUGCUCGGGAACGCGGCCUAAAAGGUAGAACUGAUGGGUUACGUUUGAAAGGACUGAGUUACAAACUUUAAGAAGUGUCAUCAUUCGCGCUGACGAAGGAUCGGUGUAGCGACGCUAGUACUUUUACUUAAAGAAACUACAGGUGAUCUGGAACCAGUGUAUGUUGACGGCAACUCUUUCAAGCAAACAUCUUUUAUGUGUAACCCGUGCAACUUAUACUUUUCAACUGGGAAAAAUU